rnacentral:rRNA from 1 species
CCUACGGGGUGCUGCAGUGGGGAAUAUUGGACAAUGGGCGAAAGCCUGAUCCAGCCAUGCCGCGUGUGUGAAGAAGGCCUUCGGGUUGUAAAGCACUUUCAGUGGGGAAGAAAGCCUUGGGGCUAAUACCCUCGAGGAAGGACAUCACCCACAGAAGAAGCACCGGCUAACUCCGUGCCAGCAGCCGCGGUAAUACGGAGGGUGCGAGCGUUAAUCGGAAUUACUGGGCGUAAAGCGCGCGUAGGCGGUCUGAUAAGCCGGUUGUGAAAGCCCCGGGCUCAACCUGGGAACGGCAUCCGGAACUGUCAGGCUAGAGUGCAGGAGAGGAAGGUAGAAUUCCCGGUGUAGCGGUGAAAUGCGUAGAGAUCGGGAGGAAUACCAGUGGCGAAGGCGGCCUUCUGGACUGACACUGACGCUGAGGUGCGAAAGCGUGGGUAGCAAACAGGAUUAGAUACCGCUGUAGUC